GACGAACGCUGGCGGCGUGCUUAACACAUGCAAGUCGAGCGGUAAGGCCCUUUCGGGGGUACGACGAGCGGCGAACGGGUGAGUAACACGUGGGUGACCUGCCCUCAGCUCUGGGAUAAGCCUGGGAAACCGGGUCUAAUAACCGGAUAUGACUCCAUGACGCAUGUUGUGGGGUGGAAAGCCUUGUGCGGCUGAGGAUGGGCCCGCGGCCUAUCAGCUUGUUGGUGGGGUGAUGGCCUACCAAGGCGACGACGGGUAGCCGGCCUGAGAGGGCGACCGGCCACACUGGGACUGAGACACGGCCCCAGACUCCUACGGGAGGCAGCAGUGGGGAAUCUUGCGCAAUGGGCGAAAGCCUGACGCAGCGACGCCGCGUGAGGGAUGACGGCCUGUGU
rnacentral:rRNA from 1 species